AGGUGAACAUGUCCAACUUUGACCUGGUCAUGGAGUCGGACUUGGGGACAUUUACCCCGGUGGCUCUGCAGUUUACUGGCAGUGAUGCAGCACGAAAGGUGAUGGCAGAAGUGGUGAAACUGUUGGCUCCCAUUAUACGACCAAUCUGGAGCCACAUGGAGAAGGGACUGACAUAUCACCGUGGAUGCAGGCAGGAGUACCAGGUGCUAGCCUCCAUGUAGCAGACAAUCGAUACUUUUGGUUCCACCACAGUGAAGGUGAUACCAUGACUGUUCAGGACCCACAAGCCAUGAAUCUCUGCUCAGCAUUGUGGGCCGUGGUGGCCUAUGUCGUAGCAGACCUACAGGACAUGCUGCCCAGGUAGCCGGUUAGCACACAGGAUGCUGAGGCCCCCCCCCCCCAGGAAACAGGAAGAGCGGAUGAUGACUAUGAACAGCUGGACUGGUUGAUUCCAAAACACGUGGUCAAAUCCAACUUUUUUUUUUUAAAAAUGUUUUAAAAACUUGAUUAAGUUAUAAAAUCUAAAAAAUUGAUUGUGAGUAGUCCAUCACUUUAAGACCAAGAACAUUAGAAUAGUGGACUUUCUCAGGUAUUGUUUCUCUUUAUGCCUUGUGUGCUGAAGUGAAAAUAAUCAACAGUUGGCUCAUAAAUAACGGUCUUGAGAAAUUAAGGAGCUGUUCAAAUUUUCAAUGUUUCCAGUGUUAAAGAGAAGAACAACCUUUUCUUUAAAAGACACAGCUUCAUGUGUUAUUUUAAAAAUUUCAAAUAUUAGAGAUUCUUCCUAAUGCACAUUUACAAUGUUUGAGAUUUUACAUUGCAGUGUUGCAAUAUGAUCAAUAAAGUAUUAAUCAUUGCUUUACCCCUUCACCCCCAUCUGCUCUUCUGCCUUAAUACCAUAGAUGCUUAAUACUGAUCAUGUAGUUUCUUUGAUGGAAGAAAGAGGAAGGUGACGACAAAUGAGACAUACGCAUCUAGUCCGUGGAAAGGAGAAAAUGGAAUGUUGAAGCAGGAGGUGGAUUCAUACAGAGGAGAGGAAGUAGAGAAUUAAUCAUUUUGCAGUCCAACACACACACACAGCUGGGACCUCUUUGUCCGAUCUGAGAGUCAGCACUCCUGAGUGGUGAUGUCAGACUCUACAGUAUAUGUGAUCCAGUAUGCAGAAACCUGAAGGUGUUUAACAUCCUGAUGACAUUAAUCAGGU